rnacentral:rRNA from 1 species
UACGUAGGUGACAAGCGUUGUCCGGAUUUACUGGGCGUAAAGAGCGCGCAGGCGGUCGUUCAAGUCGAGUGUGAAAGCCCCCCGGCUCAACUGGGGGAGGGUCAUUCGAUACUGAUCGACUCGAAGGCAGGAGAGGGUAGUGGAAUUCCCGGUGUAGUGGUGAAAUGCGUAGAUAUCGGGAGGACACCAGUGGCGAAGGCGACUACCUGGCCUGUUCUUGACGCUGAGGCGCGAAAGCUAGGGGAGCAAACGGGG